GGCGGACACCAAGCUGAUUGUGCUUGACGUGGGGCUCAAGCACUGUGGGCCCUGUGUCAAGGUAUAUCCGACGGUGGUGAAGCUGUCGAAAAGAAUGUCGGACACGGUGGUGUUUGCGAGGAUGAACGGCGAUGAGAACGACAGCUGCCUGCUGUUCCUCAAGGACAUGGAGGUGGUGGAGGUACCUACUUUCUUGUUCAUUAGAGACGGCGAGAUUUGUGGAAGGUAUGUGGGUUCUGGGAAAGGUGAGCUUAUUGGUGAAAUUCUAAGAUACCAAGGAGUCCGUGUGACUUAUUAGGAUAAUUAUCAACAAAUUAGAAAAAUGUAAAUUUA
rnacentral:lncRNA from 1 species